CACGUAGGGCGCAAGCGUUGUCCGGAAUUAUUGGGCGUAAAGAGCUCGUAGGCGGUCUGUUGCGUCCGCUGUGAAAACUCGGGGCUUAACCCCGAGCCUGCAGUGGAUACGGGCAGACUAGAGGUAGGUAGGGGAGAAUGGAAUUCCCGGUGUAGCGGUGAAAUGCGCAGAUAUCGGGAGGAACACCGGUGGCGAAGGCGGCUCACUGGACAUGUAUUGACGCUGAGGUGCGAAAGCGUGGGGAGCAAACAGG
rnacentral:rRNA from 1 species